GACGAACGCUGGCGGCGUGCUUAACACAUGCAAGUCGAACGGAAAGGCCCUGCUUUUGUGGGGUGCUCGAGUGGCGAACGGGUGAGUAACACGUGAGUAACCUGCCCUUGACUUUGGGAUAACUUCAGGAAACUGGGGCUAAUACCGGAUAGGAGCUCCUGCUGCAUGGCGGGGGUUGGAAAGUUUCGGCGGUUGGGGAUGGACUUGCGGCUUAUCAGCUUGUUGGUGGGGUAGUGGCUUACCAAGGCUUUGACGGUUAGCCGGCCUGAGAGGGUGACCGGCCACAUUGGGACUGGGAUACGGCCCAGACUCCUACGUGAGGCAGCAGUGGAGAAUAUUGCACAAUGGGCGGAAGCCUGAUGCAGCAACGCCGCGUGCGGGAUGACGGCCUUCGGGUUGUAAACCGCUUUCGCCUGUGACGAAGCGUGAGUGACGGUAAUGGGUAAGGAAGCACCGGCUAACUACGUG
rnacentral:rRNA from 1 species